rnacentral:rRNA from 1 species
AGGACGAACGCUGGCGGCGUGCUUAACACAUGCAAGUCGAGCGGAAAGGCCCUUCGGGGUACUCGAGCGGCGAACGGGUGAGUAACACGUGAGUAACCUGCCCUUGGCUCUGGGAUAGCUCCGGGAAACCGGAAUUAAAUACCGGAUAUGACUUCGGCCGACAUCGGCUGCGGUGGAAAGAUUUAUCGGCCAGGGAUGGGCUCGCGGCCUAUCAGCUUGUUGGUGGGGUAACGGCCUACCAAGGCGACGACGGGUA